CCUACGGGGGGCAGCAGUGAGGAAUAUUGGUCAAUGGCCGAGAGGCUGAACCAGCCAAGUCGCGUGAGGGAAGACGGCCCUACGGGUUGUAAACCUCUUUUGUCGGGGAGCAAAGCGAGUCACGUGUGACUCAUUGAGAGUACCCGAAGAAAAAGCAUCGGCUAACUCCGUGCCAGCAGCCGCGGUAAUACGGAGGAUGCGAGCGUUAUCCGGUUUUAUUGGGUGUAAAGGGUGCGCAGGCGGGGGUGCAAGUCAGCGGUCAAAUUGCGGGGCUCAACCCCGUACUGCCGUUGAAACUGCAGCCCUUGAGUGCGCGAGAAGUAGGCGGAAUGCGUGGUGUAGCGGUGAAAUGCAUAGAUAUCACGCAGAACUCCGAUUGCGAAGGCAGCAUACCGGCGCGCAACUGACGCUCAUGCACGAAAGCGUGGGUAUCGAACAGGAUUAGAUACCCUUGUAGUC
rnacentral:rRNA from 1 species